UCCUCAGACAAUCAUUUUGCCUUUUUGCAUUUCUUUUUCUUGCAGAUGUUCUUGAUCACUGCUUCCUGUUCAAUGUCAUGAACCUCCAUCCAUAGUUCUUCAGGGACUCUGUCUAUCAGAUCCAGUACCUUGAUUCUAUUUGUCACUUCUACUGCAUAAUCAUAAUGGUUUUGAUUUAGGUCAU
rnacentral:miRNA from 1 species